UCUAGCGAUCCUGAAUUCGGAUCGAUGUACACCAUGGUUCGAGCACUAUGGUAAGCCCAUACAUUGACCAAGAGUUCUAAUAGCCGACAAUAGCAAUAUUGCUUCUGUAUAGAGGAACAGAAAAGGGGGAUAGUGAUUAGAAAAAUUCCAUCCUAAAGAUUCAUGUGUCUGAAUUAUUCUAGAAGACUAGGGGUUCGAACUAGGGACAUCAAUUGACAACCACCUUAAUGGAAAAAAAGCAAAUCAGGUGUCAAGCAUGUAUCAUGAGCUUGAAAUAACCCAUUGAAUGGAUCAAAAGUCACCUAGUAUGUGUUCAAACUUUAAAUGCUUGUAUGUCCAAGACCUUUUUAAUUUAAAAAAAAAAACGAAUUCACCGUUUUGAUAACAAGUGUUUUUUGGUCCAACCAGACCUGUUUUGACCCGCCUAAACAAAAACCAGUUCGAUACCUAACCUGACUGCCCGUUUUGCCAUCUCUAGCUUGAACUCAAUAAAUUUCAAUAAUAUUCGAUAGGUCUCGACCAGUUGAGCAAACACAUGCAUAUUUUCUUUGCAUUUAACUCAAUCUCAUAUCAAAAUCCCAUCCGAAAUGAAAAGCGUAGAGGGUAUCUUUAUUACCUCGCUCACUGAAGAUCCUAACAGGCAUUCAGUGGCAGUACUUCCAUUCAUGUGUAAACUAUCAAGAGAAUCAGCAAACAUCCUGUGGUACAAUCAAAUGGAUUAGCUGAGGAAUGCAUGUAGGACCCAUAGAAUGACAAUUUUUAUACAGCAUCAAUAGACACAAAUUUGAACUGAAGGUUGCACGUUAAUGUUACCUGGAAAACAUCAUGAAUUCUAGGAAAGAUGGGGUUGCCAUGACCCAGCUAUGCAGAGAAGACCAGUGCCCACCAUCUUCAGGCAUCGGUGGGAGGGCUUCCACAUAAGGUGGCAAUGCAUACAUCCGCCGGAAAGCAUCCUGAAAGGCCGUUCUGCAUAACAACAUAAGAAGUAUGCAAAGUUGUCAUUUAAAUGUACAAGAGUUAUCCGUCAUUCAAGGAGAUUUUAAAAGUUUAGUUGAUAGUCAAACAAAUAGGGAAAAAGAAUUCAUGACAGGGGCAAAUGUAUGUCAUAAUUGGAUUAACAGAUGAAAGUACCUGCAAUUUCCUGCA